ACCUCCAGCAGCUCCCUCUCCUCUUGGCUGAAACCCCCCUCUCUCAUGUCUCCACCAACGAAUUUGGAAAGUGGUUUGAUUUAUGACUUUCUUGGUUCUGUGACUUAUGAAAAGUUCAUGUAGCAGCUUCCAUGAUGGAACACUUUGGGGUGACCUAAAUCUGAGUUUCUUGGUCACAGUCACUCAUAACUGGCUUUGGAAUAAACUUCCUCUUAUCUUCUCUUAGGCGGAGCCAUGGUUUCGCUUGGACAAUCAAGAUGCUUCAACAAUGACCCCUUGUUGUGGAAGAGUCAGAUGGAAACAAGGUGGGUCUGAGCCACUGGCUAUCUCCUCAGCCGGACUGUGAAGCCUUUCCAGGCUCUCCGGGAUCCUCUUUGUUUGGCUUCUGACCGUGGACUCUGACUCUAGCUAAGCUUGCUGGCUGUCUUUUUUUGAUGCUGCUUUUGGUGGUGGUGGUGUUGGGGAUUUUGUUCUGGUUUUUGUUUUUUGUUUUUGGCUUUUUGAGGCUGGGAAUAAAGGUACGCAUCACCACACUAGACUCCAAUAGCUUUCUCCCAGCACUCAGGAAACAGAGGCAGGUGGAUCUCUGUGAGUCAGGGGCUAGCCUGGUCUACACAAUGAGUUCUGUAACAGCCUGAGCUACACAAAACACAAAAACAAAACAAAAAAAAAAAAAAAAGAAA